rnacentral:lncRNA from 1 species
UCCAGUCCUGAGCUAGUGGAGCACGUGUCUUUGUCUGAGGCAGGGACAGACACUCGUGGUACCUUGAGCUGUCGCUGUCACUACCACUUCUUCUGUCAUUUCUCCACUCGUCAUCUUCUGAAGAACAAGAACCUUCACUCUGAUCAUAAGAUGUCUCCUGGCUGACAGCCACCAUGCCCAGAACAGACUAGGGCUCCGGAUGUUGGCACUGAAGAACACAGGACAUUCAGCAUCUGACUACCGAGAUGAGAUGGCCAGCAUCUUCAAAGUGUGAUUUCCUAUCUAUGUGUCUUUACUAGUGAGGUGACUGGCAGAUGCUUUCCCAUUUUGAAAAGGGAACGACUUUCUAUUACUCCACUUCAAUAGUGCUUUAUAUACACAAACGCAAACUUUUUAAGUAUUUGUCCCAAUUUGUGGUUUUGUCUAUUUAUCUCG